CUCCGACUCAGAGAGUUUGAUCAUGGCUCAGAUUGAACGCUGGCGGCAUGCUUUACACAUGCAAGUCGAACGGCAGCGCGGGGCAACCCUGGCGGCGAGUGGCGAACGGGUGAGUAAUGCAUCGGAACGUAUCCUGUAAUGGGGGAUAACGUAGCGAAAGUUACGCUAAUACCGCAUACGCUCGAGAGAGGAAAGUGGGGAUCGCAAGACCUCACGUUAUAGGAGCGGCCGAUGUCCGAUUAGCUAGUUGGUGGGGUAAAGGCCUACCAAGGCGACGAUCGGUAGCUGGUCUGAGAGGAUGAUCAGCCACACUGGGACUGAGACACGGCCCAGACUCCUACGGGAGGCAGCAGUGGGGAAUUUUGGACAAUGGGCGAAAGCCUGAUCCAGCCAUGCCGCGUGCGGGAAGAAGGCCUUCGGGUUGUAAACCGCUUUAGUCCGGGAAAAAGGGGUGCGAGGAUAAUACCCUCGUGCUUUGAUGGUACUGGAAGAAUAAGCACCGGCUAACUACGUG
rnacentral:rRNA from 1 species